rnacentral:rRNA from 1 species
UACGUAGGGGGCAAGCGUUGUCCGGAAUCAUUGGGCGUAAAGAGCGUGUAGGCGGUCCGAUAAGUCCGCUCUGAAAGCCCGGGGCUCAACCCCGGGAGGCGGGCGGAUACUGUCGGGCUAGAGUCCGGAAGAGGCAAGUGGAAUUCCUGGUGUAGCGGUGAAAUGCGCAGAUAUCAGGAGGAACACCUGUGGCGAAGGCGGCUUUCUGGGCCCUACCUGACGCUGAGACGCGAAAGCGUGGGGAGCGAACAGG